AUUGAACGCUGGCGGCAUGCUUUACACAUGCAAGUCGAACGGUAACAGCACUUCGGUGGCUGACGAGUGGCGAACGGGUGAGUAAUACAUCGGAACGUGCCUAGUAGUGGGGGAUAACUACUCGAAAGAGUAGCUAAUACCGCAUGAGAUCUAAGGAUGAAAGCAGGGGACCUUCGGGCCUUGCGCUACUAGAGCGGCUGAUGGCAGAUUAGGUAGUUGGUGGGAUAAAAGCUUACCAAGCCGACGAUCUGUAGCUGGUCUGAGAGGACGACCAGCCACACUGGGACUGAGACACGGCCCAGCCUCCUACGGGAGGCAGCAGGGGGGAAUUUUGGACAAUGGGCGCAAGCCUGAUCCAGCAAUGCCGCGUGCAGGAUGAAGGCCUUCGGGUUGUAAACUGCUUUUGUACGGAACGAAAAGCCCUCUUCUAAUACAGGAGGGUCAUGACGGUACCGUAAGAAUAAGCACCGGCUAACUACGUG
rnacentral:rRNA from 1 species